rnacentral:rRNA from 1 species
AACGCGAAGAACCUUACCUACUCUUGACAUCCAGAGAACUUUCCAGAGAUGGAUUGGUGCCUUCGGGAACUCUGAGACAGGUGCUGCAUGGCUGUCGUCAGCUCGUGUUGUGAAAUGUUGGGUUAAGUCUCGCAACGAGCGCAACCCCUAUCCUUUGUUGCCAGCGGUCCGGCCGGGAACUCAAAGGAGACUGCCAGUGAUAAACUGGAGGAAGGUGGGGAUGACGUCAAGUCAUCAUGGCCCUUACGAGUAGGGCUACACACGUGCUACAAUGGCGCAUACAAAGAGAAGCGACCUCGCGAGAGCAAGCGGACCUCAUAAAGUGCGUCGUAGUCCGGAUUGGAGUCUGCAACUCGACUCCAUGAAGUCGGAAUCGCUAGUAAUCGUAGAUCAGAAUGCUACGGUGAAUACGUUCCCGGGCCUUGUACACACCG